AAGGCGCUUCCCAACCUGAGUGGAAACAAGGAUUUGAUAAGUAACAGGAAAUUUCUUGAGCUGCCGUAGGGCAUCUAGGCAACGACUUUCUUCGGCUCCCCCAUCAUUUGAUGGUGUUGCAGCGGCGUCAGCAGCCUUCUUCGCCGCUUCAAACAAUUCCACCAACUCAUUCUCCAUUGAAUCACCGCCAAUUCGGAAUUUUUAUAUUAUAGAGAUCUGAAUCGCCGACAGCAA
rnacentral:misc_RNA from 1 species